UCCCUGGUGGCUCCGAGGUUAAAGCAUCUGCCUGCAAUGCAGGAGACCUAAGUUCGAUCCCUGGGUCGGGAA
rnacentral:tRNA from 1 species